CGGCGGACGGGUGGGUAAUGCCUAGGAAUCUGCCUGGUAGUGGGGGACAACGUUUCGAAAGGAACGCUAAUACCGCAUACGUCCUACGGGAGAAAGCAGGGACCUUCGGGCCUUGCGCUAUCAGAUGAGCUUAGGUCGGAUUAGCUAGUUGGUGAGGUAAUGGCUCACCAAGGCGACGAUCCGUAACUGGUCUGAGAGGAUGAUCAGUCACACUGGAACUGAGACACGGUCCAGACUCCCUACGGGAGGCAGCAGCU
rnacentral:rRNA from 1 species